rfam:Heterocephalus glaber contig210080, whole genome shotgun sequence.
UUAAAAGCUUUUUUAAAAGCCAUCAACUCAAAUUAAUGUGUGAUGU